UUGUCUAAACAUGAUAUCAUGCCAUUUGACUGGAGAAUUUUGCAUGGAAUAACAUCAAACGCAGAUAAGUAUAAAAAGCAAAUAGGGCCCAAAUUUUAUUUAACAAACCCACAUUUAUUUCGAAGAAGAUUUGGUCUCCCACCAUGCUACUUGAACAAGUCUAUUAGAAACCACCCAUAGAACUAUCUUAAUCAACAUGGCUCAUAACAACCAUAACCACAAUAAGAAAACCAUCCAUAGUUGCGAUUCUGUAAGAAAUUAAUCAUAAGGUGUUGCCACAAAUUGUUUGACAAUACAAACAGCAGAAAAGGAAUACACAUGGGAAGAUUUAAAUAGGAAGGCCCAAUCCCAACCAACCAAAUUAAGAAGAGAACAAAGUUAUCCAUUUCCCUCAUCAUUUAUUUCCAAUUUCCCAGAAACAAACCAGGACACAAACAACAACAUUCCAAAAAACCCUCCACCCACUCACCAUCCAAAAGAAACAGACAAACAAAAAGAUUGGAAAAUGGAAUUUGCUGCAUAAUAGAACAAGUGGUAAAGAUAAAUACC
rnacentral:misc_RNA from 1 species